rnacentral:rRNA from 1 species
GAUGAACGCUGGCGGCGUGCCUAAUACAUGCAAGUCGAGCGAACAGACGAGGAGCUUGCUCCUCUGACGUUAGCGGCGGACGGGUGAGUAACACGUGGAUAACCUACCUAUAAGACUGGGAUAACUUCGGGAAACCGGAGCUAAUACCGGAUAAUAUAUUGAGCCGCAUGGUUCAAUAGUGAAAGACGGUUUUGCUGUCACUUAUAGAUGGAUCCGCGCCGCAUUAGCUAGUUGGUAAGGUAACGGCUUACCAAGGCGACGAUGCGUAGCCGACCUGAGAGGGUGAUCGGCCACACUGGAACUGAGACACGGUCCAGACUCCUACGGGAGGCAGCAGUAGGGAAUCUUCCGCAAUGGGCGAAAGCCUGACGGAGCAACGCCGCGUGAGUGAUGAAGGUCUUCGGAUCGUAAAACUCUGUUAUUAGGGAAGAACAAAUGUGUAAGUAACUAUGCACGUCUUGACGGUACCUAAUCAUAAAGCCACGGCUAACUACGUG